rnacentral:rRNA from 1 species
UACGUAGGGUGCAAGCGUUGUCCGGAAUUAUUGGGCGUAAAGAGCUCGUAGGCGGUUUGUCGCGUCUGCUGUGAAAUCCCGAGGCUCAACCUCGGGCCUGCAGUGGGUACGGGCAGACUAGAGUGCGGUAGGGGAGAUUGGAAUUCCUGGUGUAGCGGUGGAAUGCGCAGAUAUCAGGAGGAACACCCAUAGCGAAGGCAGCUUGCUGGGACGUUACUGACGCUAAGGCGCGAAAGCGUGGGGAGCGAACAGG